rnacentral:rRNA from 1 species
CCUACGGGAGGCAGCAGUGGGGAAUUUUGGACAAUGGGCGAAAGCCUGAUCCAGCAAUGCCGCGUGAGUGAAGAAGGCCUUCGGGUUGUAAAGCUCUUUUGUCAGGGAAGAAACGGUGAGAGCUAAUAUCUCUUGCUAAUGACGGUACCUGAAGAAUAAGCACCGGCUAACUACGUGCCAGCAGCCGCGGUAAUACGUAGGGUGCAAGCGUUAAUCGGAAUUACUGGGCGUAAAGCGUGCGCAGGCGGUUUUGUAAGUCUGAUGUGAAAUCCCCGGGCUCAACCUGGGAAUUGCAUUGGAGACUGCAAGGCUAGAAUCUGGCAGAGGGGGGUAGAAUUCCACGUGUAGCAGUGAAAUGCGUAGAUAUGUGGAGGAACACCGAUGGCGAAGGCAGCCCCCUGGGUCAAGAUUGACGCUCAUGCACGAAAGCGUGGGGAGCAAACAGGAUUAGAUACCCUGGUAGUCCACGCCCUAAACGAUGUCUACUAGUUGUCGGGUCUUAAUUGACUUGGUAACGCAGCUAACGCGUGAAGUGACCGCCUGGGGGUAGUUACGGUUCGUCGAGAGUUAAACGUUACGAAGAGUAGAGGCGNGAGAGNGCGACGGACGACGACGAGGGAGGAGG